AAUAGAUACCCAGGUAGUCCAUGCCGUAAACGGUGGGCGCUAGGUGUGAGGGUCUUUUCACGACUUUCGUGCCGUAGCUAACGCAUUAAGCGCCCCGCCUGGGGAGUACGGCCGCAAGGCUAAAACUCAAAGGAAUUGACGGGGGCCCGCACAAGCGGCGGAGCAUGUGGAUUAAUUCGAUGCAACGCGAAGAACCUUACCUGGGCUUGACAUACACCGGAUCGGGCUAGAGAUAGUCUUUCCCUUUGUGGCUGAUGUACAGGUGGUGCAUGGUUGUCGUCAGCUCGUGUCGUGAGAUGUUGGGUUAAGUCCCGCAACGAGCGCAACCCUUGUCUUAUGUUGCCAGCAUUUGGUUGGGGACUCAUGAGAGACUGCCGGGGUCAACUCGGAGGAAGGUGGGGAUGACGUCAAAUCAUCAUGCCCCUUAUGUCCAGGGCUUCACACAUGCUACAAUGGUCGGUACAACGCGCAGCGACACUGUGAGGUGGAGCGAAUCGCUGAAAGCCGGCCUUAGUUCGGAUUGGGU
rnacentral:rRNA from 1 species